rnacentral:rRNA from 1 species
GACGAACGCUGGCGGCGUGCCUAAUACAUGCAAGUAGAACGCUGAAGAGAGGAGCUUGCUCUUCUUGGAUGAGUUGCGAACGGGUGAGUAACGCGUAGGUAACCUGCCUUGUAGCGGGGGAUAACUAUUGGAAACGAUAGCUAAUACCGCAUAACAAUGGAUGACACAUGUCAUUUAUUUGAAAGGGGCAAUUGCUCCACUACAAGAUGGACCUGCGUUGUAUUAGCUAGUAGGUGAGGUAAUGGCUCACCUAGGCGACGAUACAUAGCCGACCUGAGAGGGUGAUCGGCCACACUGGGACUGAGACACGGCCCAGACUCCUACGGGAGGCAGCAGUAGGGAAUCUUCGGCAAUGGGGGCAACCCUGACCGAGCAACGCCGCGUGAGUGAAGAAGGUUGUCGGAUCGUAAAGCUCUGUUGUAAGUCAAGAACGGGUGUGAGAGUGGAAAGUUCACACUGUGACGGUAGCUCACCAGAAAGGGACGGCUAACUACGUG